CCUACGGGAGGCAGCAGUAGGGAAUAUUGGGCAAUGGAGGCAACUCUGACCCAGCCAUGCCGCGUGCAGGAUGAAGGCGUUAUGCGUUGUAAACUGCUUUUAUAUAGGAAGAAAUAGACCUUGCGAGGUAAGUUGACGGUACUAUAUGAAUAAGCACCGGCUAACUCCGUGCCAGCAGCCGCGGUAAUACGGAGGGUGCAAGCGUUGUCCGGAUUUAUUGGGUUUAAAGGGUGCGUAGGCGGUUUAUUAAGUCAGUGGUGAAAGACGGUCGCUCAACGAUUGCAGUGCCAUUGAUACUGGUAGACUUGAGUGUGAUUGAGGUAGCUGGAAUGGAUAGUGUAGCGGUGAAAUGCAUAGAUAUUAUCCAGAACACCAAUUGCGUAGGCAAGUUACUAAGUCACAACUGACGCUGAGGCACGAAAGUGUGGGUAUCAAACAGGAUUAGAUACCCUGGUAGUCCACACUGUAAACGAUGAUAACUAACUGUUGCUUUUGGGUCAGUGGUACAGAGAAAUCGUUAAGUUANCCACCUGGGGAGUACGCCGGCAACGGUGAAACUCAAAUGAAAUUGACGGNGUGAGACGAGACGAGACGACGACGAGGGAGGAGG
rnacentral:rRNA from 1 species